GACAAAGGCACUCUAACUUGGAAAGCAUGCUUCACAGGCUAGAACAAAUUGAGAGUGAAAGAGACGAAAUUAGGAGAAGAUGGACAACAGUUGAUUACAAUGAUGCAGCCUCUAGAGAAGAAGAAAUAGAAGAUGUACCUGUGCUGCCACAGCACCCAGUUCCUAUUCAUGUCAGCAAGUCUGACCAGGAGCAACAGAGACGGCAGGCCAUGGCUUUCCUGCAGCCUG